AUGAUGAAAUGCAUAAUCUUAUCUUCAGUCACACAAUUUAUUUGCUUAUCGUUUACAGGAGGAUGGGGCGGCUGGGGUAAGACUUGAUUAGAAAGGGGAUGGAAAUUAGUUUCCUUGUCAUAUUAUGUAAUAACUGUUGCCUUAUUCUGCUGUUGUAACAUUCUUUUGUUAGGCGGAGGAGGUGGUACUGGCGGUCACGGGGGUAGCGGUCACGGUGGGAAUGGGUACUCUGGAGGGCACGGGGGAUACGGAUGGCGAAGGAGGCGAGAUGUGACUCAAGAAGCGUCAAAUAUGCAGCCAUCAGAAAACAAAACGGGUUUGGUAUAAUUCCAUCAUAAACUCCAGUCAAUCCAACAAAAUACCAAAAGAAUCUCAGAGCUUUCCAACUCAAUUUUCAUGUAAAAAAUAUAAAAAUAAAGUGUUCACGAGCAUGUUCUGUUCCGAA